UGCGCAGGCGGUUAUAUAAGACAGAUGUGAAAUCCCCGGGCUCAACCUGGGACCUGCAUUUGUGACUGUAUAGCUAGAGUACGGUAGAGGGGGAUGGAAUUCCGCGUGUAGCAGUGAAAUGCGUAGAUAUGCGGAGGAACACCGAUGGCGAAGGCAAUCCCCUGGACCUGUACUGACGCUCAUGCACGAAAGCGUGGGGAGCAAACAGGAUUAGAUACCCUGGUAGUCCACGCCCUAAACGAUGUCAACUGGUCGUUGGGUCUUCACUGACUCAGUAACGAAGCUAACGCGUGAAGUUGACCGCCUGGGGAGUACGGCCGCAAGGUUGAA
rnacentral:rRNA from 1 species